GCUGUAGCUCAGUAGUACAGCAUCCGCCCUGCAUGCAGAAGGUCCUAGGUUCAAUCCCCAUGGCAUCUCCA